rnacentral:piRNA from 1 species
ACUCACUCUGUAAACCAGACUGG